rnacentral:rRNA from 1 species
UACGUAGGGUGCAAGCGUUAAUCGGAAUUACUGGGCGUAAAGCGUGCGCAGGCGGUUCUAUAAGACAGAUGUGAAAUCCCCGGGCUCAACCUGGGAACUGCAUUUGUGACUGUAGAGCUGGAGUACGGUAGAGGGGGAUGGAAUUCCGCGUGUAGCAGUGAAAUGCGUAGAUAUGCGGAGGAACACCGAUGGCGAGGGCAAUCCCCUGGACCUGUACUGACGCUCAUGCACGAAAGCGUGGGGAGCAAACAGG